rnacentral:rRNA from 1 species
UACGUAGGGUGCAAGCGUUUGUCCGGAAUUAUUGGGCGUAAAGAGCUCGUAGGCGGUCUGUCGCGUCGGCUGUGAAAACCCGGAGCUCAACUCCGGGCCUGCAGUCGAUACGGGCAAACUGGAGUGUUGCAGGGGAGACUGGAAUUCCUGGUGUAGCGGUGAAAUGCGCAGAUAUCAGGAGGAACACCGGUGGCGAAGGCGGGUCUCUGGGCAACAACUGACGCUGGAGGAGCGAAAGCGUGGG